AGCCGAUGAUGUGAUCAAAAUAUUUGCUACCCUUGAUGGCUGCUCACGUUUGAUGAUCCUAACCCACCAACAUCUCUGGAGGCC